CAUCUAACAGCACAGGGAACAUCCAUCCGUGACUCAAGCCCCAUAUGGGUGCAGGUUCUCUUGUGAGCCCUGAGUCAUCAUCUCCAUCUGACCAGGCCUCCCCUUCUCAUGGCUUCUUGCCAAGGCUGCUCUUAGCCUGGGCUAAUUAGCAUCCUCCACCCCCCCACCCUGUCCUCCGCUCUCGCCCACUCAGGCAGGCUGGAAUUGAAAGGGAGAGCUCAAGAGCUGUGAAAAAUGAGCAAAGCUUGGGAGGCAGGAGAAACUGCAAACUGGGAGCCCCUCAUGCCAAUUUUAGGGCAGCCCCUGUUAUGAGAGCAAUAAAGAAAUGGCAAUUUCUGCCAUUUAGAAGCAAAUGGCCCUUUCAUCUGGAGAGGCUGUUGAAUGCAAAGCACACUCCACCGCGGAGGAGGUGCGGCUCCGGUUCCAAUCUUUGCAUCCCUGAUACCCGAGUAAAAUGCAGCUGAGAGGAGUCACCUAGUUGCCCCUCGGCCCUGAGCCAGUGUUUGGUGAUAUGACCCCUCUGCUCCCCAAGCCUCAUGCCAAGUCAGCCACACUCAACACACCAUCAUCACAGGCCCCUGUGGAAAUGCGCAGAUUGCAGCCAUAGGAAGCCAUGCGGCUGUGUAAUUAUUCAGGUGAGUAGCCUAGAGCCUCUUCUCACAUGCAAAUGGUGGAGGAAUGACUCCAAGGAGCUAAAUAUGACUUUCAGGGGAAGUCUCUUGUGGUACAUUGGGUUAAAGAUCUGCUGUUGUCACUGAAGUGGCUCACUGCUGUGGCAUGGGUUCAAUCCCAGGAAUUUCUACAUGCCGUAGGCAUGGCCAAGAAAAAGAGAAGAUGGCUUUCUUAAAGGUAGGAAUAUGGACUGUUUGACUUACCGCCACAUGACCAGAAUACAGAGAAGGUAGUUGAUAAAUAUGUGUUGGGGAAAAAUGAAUAAAUGAACAUACAAUAAU
rnacentral:lncRNA from 1 species